GACGAACGCUGGCGGCGUGCCUAACACAUGCAAGUCGAGCGGAGUUAAUUGAAAGCUUGCUUUUGGUUAACUUAGCGGCGGACGGGUGAGUAACGCGUGGGCAACCUGCCUAUCACAGGGGGAUAACACAGGGAAACUUGUGCUAAUACCGCAUAAUACAGCGAGAAAGCAUUUUCUUGUUGUCAAAGGAGCAAUCCGGUGAUAGAUGGGCCCGCGUCCAAUUAGCUAGUUGGUGAUGUAACGGACCACCAAGGCGACGAUUGGUAGCCGAACUGAGAGGUUGAUCGGCCACAGUGGGACUGAGACACGGCCCAGACUCCUACGGGAGGCAGCAGUGGGGAAUAUUGCACAAUGGGGGAAACCCUGAUGCAGCAACGCCGCGUGAAGGAUGAAGGUUUUCGGAUUGUAAACUUCUUUAGUCAGGGACGAAUAAAUGACGGUACCUGAAGAAUAAGCCACGGCUAACUACGUGCCAGCCGCCGCGGUAA
rnacentral:rRNA from 1 species